GUUUUUGCACGUUGAUGUACUUUAUCGUUUUAAGUGGGGUUUAUUUACCUAUUGAACUGAAUAUAAAUUUCACAUAUUUGUAAUUAAAACACUUUCCUGAAAAUUGUGCUCAUUUAUUGUGACUGUAAUGUAAACAGGCAAUUCAAACUAUUCAAAUUUCCUGGUACUUUUAGCAGACGAUUUUGCGAUUCUUCCUCCGUCUUGCGUACAAGAACAGCAUUUGUUGUCAAAUAUGGCUUCCAAGGUGGAUGUGGAUAGCAGUGUUGGUGAGCGAAGACUUCGUCCAAUAUAUGACUGGCUUGACAAUGGUAAUAAUAAGAAGGCUCUGCAGGAAGCUGAGAAAGUCCUUAAGAAGCAGCCGAAUUUCCAGUGUGCAAAGGUCCUCAAGGCUCUUGCACUACUGCGUCUUGGAAAGGAGGAUGAAUGUAUCCAGCUUCUUGAUGCUGUCAGAGCUGAAGUACCAUGUGAUGACUCUACGUUGCAAGCGAUGACUAUAUGUUAUCGAGAGAUACACAAUCCUGAGCGGAUAUGUGAGAUAUAUGAGGCAGCCACAAAGAAAGAUCCAACCAAUGAAGAGCUUCUGACUCAUUUGUUUAUGUCAUAUGUUCGUGUGGCUGAUUACAAGAAACAACAGCAAGCUGCAAUGGCACUGUACAAGCUCAAACCGAAGAACCCUUAUUACUUUUGGGCUGUGAUGAGUGUUGUAAUGCAGGCAUAUAAAGCUGACGAGAAGCUGGCCAAAAGUGUUGUACUUCCUCUUGCCGAGAGAAUGGUAAAGAAGUUUGUGAGUGAGGGGAAGAUUGAAGCGGAGCAAGAAGUGCAGCUUUAUCUUAUGAUUCUGGAGAUGCAGGGUAAAUUUGAGGAGGCAUUACAAGUUGUCGAAGGACCACUGGGCGAAAAGCUUAUAUCAUAUGUGUUUGUUCCAUUGAAGAGAGCUGGCCUACUUAUGAAGUUGGGAAGGUGGCGGGACUCUAAUAUCCUGUACAAAUUGCUCCUACGAGAAGAUAUGGAUCGCUGGUCUUAUUAUAUGGGCUACUUCACAUCUGCUCUAGCAUUGCUUGAUUCGGGCCAAGAUGAUUCAGCUAAGGUGACAGAUCCAGUGACACCGUCUGAUAGUGACAGGAGCAUCGAUGCAAGGUGGCAGGUUGCAGACAGUACACUUGAAAUGUGCAAGGACUUUCUGUCCCUUGUCCUAUCAGAAAAUGAGGCUCUCUCUAGACGGUUGCGUGGACCAUAUCUUGCGUAUCUAGAAUUCUACAGAAGACUGCAUGAAAGAGGGGAAAAUCCAGAAGAACUUCUUGGUGAUAUUGUAGAGCUGUUUAUGAGAUAUUUCCGUAAUUUUGGAGACAAGCCAUGCUGCGUGUCAGAUCUGAAAAUGUUUUUACCAUUGUUAUCUAAUAAUCGUGCCAAAGACUUCAUACAGAAAGUAAAUGAAACUGUUGGACUCAGAGUUGGAGAACUCCCAUCAUCGGUCAAACAAAUGCAGGAACACAUUAGCAGUUUUCAGUUGAGCCGUUGUGUUGGCUGUCAUGUGGACCUCAGCAUGGCAGACAAACUAGCAAUGGCAUCAUCACUCCUUCAGUACUAUGACCAUGGACACAGCUUUAAUAGAGACAUACUGCACACAGAAUUUGCGUGUAAUGACCCAUAUGCGCUCUUGGCUGCACACGUCCUUUAUGAUGUAUGGGUAGAGACAGGGAGCAGUCAGCAUAUUUAUGAUGCCAUCCUAGUCCUUGAAUAUGCACUUACCAUCAGUCCAUCAAACUUUCAUGUCAAGCUGUUGUUACUGCGAUUCUACGCUAUAUUAGGAGCUGGUGGUGCAGCUCAUCAAAUCUAUGAACUCUUGGAUGUGAAACACAUGCAACUGGAUUCCCUUGGUUAUUACCACUGUAACCAUGUUUUUGUUACUGGCCAGUUUGCAGUGACUUCAGCACUCUAUGAAGCAACACUCAAAUUUUUUACUGGCAACUACAAAGAUAGUGUAGAUCACCUAACGUUCUCUUAUAAAUUUGGUUCCUUUUUGAAAAUUGAAGAAUUUGUAGAGUUUCGAGAAAGACUGAACAACUCGCUGCAUUAUGCACUUAUUACUAUUGAAAGAAUGCUCUUUGAGCUGCUUACAAGUAAAAACUUCUCGGAUACUAUUAAGUACAUUGAAGGGAUGGAUGUGACACCCGAGAAGGAUAAAGUGGAUUGGGAUAACCUUCAGGAUAACCGGGAUGUUCAUGUGAUCAUGUCAUGGGAUCCUCACUUAAGACAAGUGUCAAAGGAAAUUGAACGUCAGACUUUCUUGGAUGAUAUGUCAUUCUUGCGUAUCCGGAAUUUGACACUACGGUGUUUGGCAGCAGCUGUGAACAUUGCUUGUGCUAGUGAAAGCAAUUCACUAGAUCCCAAGCCACAACAUCAGCACCAUCAUCCAAACAGUGAAGGUCCGGUCAUCAAUGGCGAGGUUAAGGAGGAUGGAAUAGAUGUGUCUCGUUUCGAAACAUUUGUCAGAGUAUCAGAAGAACUGCUCAAUCUGUACAAUAGUCUUACAGCGAUUCCCCCUGCUCAAGUCCCACAGAAUGUAAUUGGAGCACCAUUACCAUCUCGUCUUCAUGGUUACUUGGCCUCACCUUCUUGCUGUGUACUUCUGGAAUUGUUCGGCCUUAUCAAAUUGCUUAUGCAAGACAACGAAGACAAUUCGUUGACCAAAAUGGCCUGUACAGCAGCAGAGAUGGUCACUGCUGCAGUCCACAAAGCCAGUGAAAUGAUUAAAGUCCAUGGUUCAGAAGGUGCAGAUCAGCUGGCUGGGAGAAGAAUAUUAUUGGAGUAUGUAGUAAACAUAAUUGAGAUGCUUAGUUUAGCUGCCAUAUUGUGUGGUGUCGGCCAUAGUCUAGUGAAGCCUUUGAAAGCUCCAUUAGUCAGGAAGAAUAAGAAGAAAAAGAAAAAUUGCAACAACCAGCAUAAUCAACAGUCACAGUCAAAAAGGAUAGAAGUGUUCAACAAACUUGUAUCAGAACUUCAGGGUGCAGCAGAAGAACUGGACUCUGCAUUGGACUAUUGGGAAUCGAUCCCACCUACUUUGGCUGUCAUCCCAAUUUUUGCUGAAAACUUGCCAUCUCACCUCCAAGCACUUUGUCUCCUUGGGCAUGAAAAUAGUAAUGAGAAUAGUUGUAGUAACUCGACACGAAGUGGUCUUGGAUUGGCAGUGGACACUAAACUAUAUAAUAGCCAUGCAGAUUCACUCAGGGAGGUUCGGCAGCUCCUACAAGUGAAAAUAAAGUACCUAGCCAGUGUAAAGGUUUAACAAUAGAUUACUUGGCCAGAAAUCUAAUACUCGUUUCAUCAUCAGUUGUGAAAAGGUUUUCAUUGAAAUCUUUGCAGUGGAAAAUGUUCAUUUGUUGGUACAAAUAUGUGGUUUUUGCAGUGCAGAAGAAUGUUGUAGUGGUAGAAUUAUGUGCAACUCUUCUGCUCUGCAGUAUUCUACAAACAGAUAGCACAGACAGAAACAGCAUGAAGCAGGAAAAAAGAGUAUAUAUUUUAUAUGCUGCACCUAUCUUUACUUCAUGCUGACUUGAAGGGGUUAAAUAGUUCUUGUGUUUAGGUGCACACCUAAGUUGUUGCAAACAAGUAUUGUAUUUUCACCCUUCUAAGAAAACUGAUGUGUGUAGUGCUGGAAGUGUUGUAUCACAUAGAAAGAAAGUAGUGAAAUCCAAUUUUAAGGAGGUUGAGCCUCUGAGCAGUCUGAAUUUCCUCUUCCUUGGGUGUUUCAGGUGAUGUAAGGACCUAUAGUAUACAGUAUUAUACUAUUUACAUCUUUGGAUACCACUCAAAAAUGGUACAUGCACAGGGAGAUUAAAAUGUUGCACAACCCAAUGCUGAUACAAUUUUAUUUGCAUCAAAAGUUGCAGGUCCUGGUAAGGGCCGCUCAAAGAGGGGGGGGUCCAAGGAGUGGCCCAUUGUGUCUUGAUGGAGGAAGAUGUGUGUGCCGUUCUUGAGGUGACUGUGCACAAAUGUGGCCAGGGAGGCAUGGUGUGUUUCUGGAACUGGUCUGAGGUGGGUCAUUUGUUGGUGGAGCUGGGUGAUGAGGUGCGCUGGAUUCAGUGGGUCAGCUGAUGGAGCCAGUAGCUCACUGGUGAUUCUUAGGGGCUCGCUGUAUACAAGUUCAGCUACUGAUGCUUGCAGGUCCUCUUUGAAUGCUGUGCCUGUGUAGGUUUAUUGUAGCAUGGAGAUUGGGGCCUUUGGGUUCAUGUUUAUGUGUUUCCAUUUGUUUUGGUUUGGUAUGAUAUUACAUUGUGUCAGUGUAUGUUUUAUAGUUUUUUAACAGUUUUUCAUGGGAUUAUUAUUAAGUAGUAUGAAUUGAUUCUUUUAUAUGAAAUUGUCUGCUUUUUGUGUGUAGUUUUCUGUUGUCAGGUUAACUGUUAGUUUAUUCUUUAUCUACUUUUGUUAUGGUAUGUUCAUUUUGUACUAGUUAAUUUUUUAUAUUUCUUAUUAGUUUCCAUUCUGUUUUACACUAGCACAAAAAUAACUUCGCCAACAUAAAUUCUAAUAGAAGAAUUACACUUGUUACAGACAUACAUGCACACUAGGGGAACCAUAUAUCAACAACUAAACAUGAACGCAGAAAGACAGCAGUUUCCUCACCCACAACUUUUAACACCUAAUGUUGACCAAUUUGGUUGAA